AGAGGAAGCCCGGUGCGAAUCCGGCGCGGUCCCGCCACUGUCACCGGGCACCGCGCGGCACGGCCGCGACGGGAGCCCGGGAGCCAGGAACUC
rnacentral:ncRNA from 1 species